rnacentral:lncRNA from 1 species
UCGGGGUUCCCCUUCGGGGUUCCCCUUCGGGGUUCCCCUUCGGGGUUCCCCUUCGGGGUUCCCCUUCGGGGUUCCCCUUCGGGGUUCCCCUUCGGGGAAGCGCUUCUUCCCUUUAGUUCCCCUAUAGGGGAUGAACUAAAGGGGAACUACUUCGUCAUAGUCAUACCCUACGGGUUCCCCUUUGGGUUCCCCUGUCUUCUCUGGUCUUAGUCCCUAGUGUGUCAUUCUCUUUAGUUUAUCCCCUAAAGGGUUUCCAAAGUUUGUUCCCCUAAAGGGGAAGACAACCCCUUCGGGGAACCCUUUGGUUUACCCUUUGGGCUCUUUGGUUUCUUCCCCAUCCCCUAAAGGGGAACUAAAGGGGGGACCCCCCUUUGUUCCCCUUUAGGGGAUGAACUCCUCUAAAGGGGAAGAAGGGGAGCAUCGUCUUCUUCCCCUUUAGGGGAACUUUAGUUCUUCCCCUUUGGGGAACUAAAGGGGAUGAACUAAAGNGGUUGUCCCCUAAAGGGUUGUCCCCUAAAGGGUUGUCCCCUUUAGUUCUUCCCCUAAAGGGGAACCCCAAAGU